rnacentral:rRNA from 2 species
AGGGCGGGCGGUGUGCUAUACAUGCAAGUCGACGCGUUGGCCCAAUUGAUUGAUGGUGCUUGCACCUGAUUGAUUUUGGUCGCCAACGAGUGGCGGACGGGUGAGUAACACGUAGGUAACCUGCCCAGAAGCGGGGGACAACAUUUGGAAACAGAUGCUAAUACCGCAUAACAGCGUUGUUCGCAUGAACAACGCUUAAAAGAUGGCUUCUCGCUAUCACUUCUGGAUGGACCUGCGGUGCAUUAGCUUGUUGGUGGGGUAACGGCCUACCAAGGCGAUGAUGCAUAGCCGAGUUGAGAGACUGAUCGGCCACAAUGGGACUGAGACACGGCCCAUACUCCUACGGGAGGCAGCAGUAGGGAAUCUUCCACAAUGGGCGCAAGCCUGAUGGAGCAACACCGCGUGAGUGAAGAAGGGUUUCGGCUCGUAAAGCUCUGUUGUUAAAGAAGAACACGUAUGAGAGUAACUGUUCAUACGUUGACGGUAUUUAACCAGAAAGUCACGGCUAACUACGUGCCAGCAGCCGCGGUAAUACGUAGGUGGCAAGCGUUAUCCGGAUUUAUUGGGCGUAAAGAGAGUGCAGGCGGUUUUCUAAGUCUGAUGUGAAAGCCUUCGGCUUAACCGGAGAAGUGCAUCGGAAACUGGAUAACUUGAGUGCAGAAGAGGGUAGUGGAACUCCAUGUGUAGCGGUGGAAUGCGUAGAUAUAUGGAAGAACACCAGUGGCGAAGGCGGCUACCUGGUCUGCAACUGACGCUGAGACUCGAAAGCAUGGGUAGCGAACAGGAUUAGAUACCCUGGUAGUCCAUGCCGUAAACGAUGAGUGCUAGGUGUUGGAGGGUUUCCGCCCUUCAGUGCCGGAGCUAACGCAUUAAGCACUCCGCCUGGGGAGUACGACCGCAAGGUUGAAACUCAAAGGAAUUGACGGGGGCCCGCACAAGCGGUGGAGCAUGUGGUUUAAUUCGAAGCUACGCGAAGAACCUUACCAGGUCUUGACAUCUUGCGCCAACCCUAGAGAUAGGGCGUUUCCUUCGGGAACGCAAUGACAGGUGGUGCAUGGUCGUCGUCAGCUCGUGUCGUGAGAUGUUGGGUUAAGUCCCGCAACGAGCGCAACCCUUGUUACUAGUUGCCAGCAUUAAGUUGGGCACUCUAGUGAGACUGCCGGUGACAAACCGGAGGAAGGUGGGGACGACGUCAGAUCAUCAUGCCCCUUAUGACCUGGGCUACACACGUGCUACAAUGGACGGUACAACGAGUCGCGAACUCGCGAGGGCAAGCAAAUCUCUUAAAACCGUUCUCAGUUCGGACUGCAGGCUGCAACUCGCCUGCACGAAGUCGGAAUCGCUAGUAAUCGCGGAUCAGCAUGCCGCGGUGAAUACGUUCCCGGGCCUUGUACACACCGCCCGUCACACCAUGAGAGUUUGUAACACCCAAAGUCGGUGGGGUAACCUUUUAGGAGCCAGCCGCCUAAGGUGGACAGAGAUUGA